GGCCUUGGGCACACCACCUGGAUCACAACAGACUCAACCAACUAUAACUAUUAUAUUUGAUCUAGAGAAAUCUUGAUUUAAUCUAAUUCAACUUUUAGUUAGAUUUAAUCAAUUUCUCUACUUAGUCCAUUUGAUUCUGAUCUUAGUAUUAGAUGUAUGCUUUAGAAGUCAAUCUUGAUAGAUGCAUACUUUUCUCUAGGAU
rnacentral:lncRNA from 1 species